rnacentral:lncRNA from 1 species
AAUUCCAUCCAUGAAUCAAGGUCUACAUGGAAGGUCACAAUGCAGGAAGAUGGUGUCAUAUCCUGGAAGACAGAAAGGGAAGCUUUUUAACAAGAAGAGAGAAAAUACAAGAAAUUCUGUGUGGAAGGCAGCUUUGAGAAGACACAGUCUAUGCAGCAUGAUUGCUUCAGAGCAAGGAGGGUUAAAAAGGCAACAACAAAAAAACCUGCUCAUUUUUGCUUGCUAAAAAAAAGAAACAACUCAAACUAUCUCCAAAUGUAGUUUAAUCCAUUUUCAGACUCUAUACAUUAUGCAUCAAGAUUCUGUACAAAAGGAAUUUGAGAGGAACGUUUGCAUGAAACCACUUCAGUGGAUUAAAUUUGCAGUUCAGCACAUUAGACUCAAAAAGUGUACAAGACAUUUUGAGAGACCUGUCUCCUUCUUUUAUAUGCAAGGUUCCUACUUCAGGUAAAUACCUUUGUAAGAAUGAGUGGAUUCCAGCAGCUGUCUUUAAGAAAAAAAUUAAGAGAGGAUUUGGCUUACCUUCCACUUAGUUUAAUAAUGACUACAAAUGUUUGAAGAACAUAAAGCUUAGUUAAUCUGAGCAGUUCUGUGGAUCCUAAUGUUCUUUUGGCCAAAGUUGCCUUAUCCAAGGUGGAAAAGCUGAUCUGAAAAGAUACUCCUAAAGAAGCUAACAUAGGUGGCUUGGUAAUAACUGCAAACUCUACCCAGCUUCAGUUCAGAGUUGCAUUGUUGGUAUGGUAGACCAACUGGAUGGAAAGCUUGGAAUCACUCAUCCAGAUGUCUUCACCCAGUGGAUGCCAAACAACGUGGGUGUUUGGAGGGCCCAUGGCAUUUUUAUUUCCUGUUGUUUAAAUAAUGGAUUGUUGGGAUGUUAGACGCAUAGUGUCUAUUUUCUCUUACCCCAGAGACCAGGCACUACUGGAGGAGCACACUUUAUGACAAUUACAUUGAGUCAUGAGUUCCAGAAGAGCAAUCUAUUUCUGGGCUCUUAAAAAUGGGAGGUUUAAAUUGACAGGCAAAGUCUAACCCCUAGAUAUCAUCACUGUUACAGACCAGGGGCUAACCCUCAUUAAAUCUAAAAAGCAUCUGAAAGUUUCUAUAACUUUUUUUUGAGAGUUGAAAAAGUUGAAAAAGUUCCUAGUGGUGUGGCUGGUUGCCUGGGAUACAGCAUUGUGUUGACAGCUGUGGCCCUUUCCUGCCAGCUGAAGAUUUGGACAGUGACCAAUGAGAGGGUUACAUUCUACUUUGAACUUUGCAUUAAGCUGGUGACUCACUUUGAAACCCACAUUUUAUGAAAUCUGUUAAUUCAGUGCAAUGUACUUGUUGAGGUGUCUGCAUUCAAAUUGGAUUCCAUUAACUUUAUAGUGUGAUUACACGCCUGAAUCAUAAGACAAGAGAUUGAAUUUAUGUGCCUUCUGAAAGUGCUUUUGAAGACUGGCAGCUUCAGUAAGUUUAAUUUGAUCCUUGGGAUUAGGAGAAUAAACCUAAAAAGAUAUCACUUCAACUAUAACAAUGAUUUGAGAACCCAUCUUUUGAGAGUUGAGGUGAUUGGUCACUCUUUUAUGUAGAGGAGUUGUUAUUUAGCAUGCAUAUUUUUGCUUCAGAAUAUUUGAUUUUUGUUGAAUUUUGGGUUAAGGGCUUAGUGAUCUGCUGUUAUAGUGGUUUUUCAAAUAUUAAAAUGCCUAAUUAUUAAUUUGGGUGCUUGUUAAAAAUGCCAAUUUCCAGUCAUUUCUACUCUCUGAUUCUGAAAGAUUGGCAUUGUGGACCCCACUGGGAGAAACCCUACUAUACUCACUUUGCGUUUGGAGAAGGGAUGUCUCUCAUCCAUGGCCUACCUCACAGGUAUUAUAAGUGAGCCAAGACCUGGAACUGGAACUCUUCAUAUUUUUCCUUAGGCAUGGUUUCACCACCUACUUAGUUCAUGCUUAUCCAAAUGGAUAUUCAUGACAUGGAAAUUAUUGGUGGUGUGAAAAUCGGAUAUGCCAUGUUGGAAAAGAACAUGAAGUGGUAAAAAAGAGUGAGCGGUAUACUGCACUUCACCAAAAGUAAGAUCUGACAUCUCAUUUGAAAAUUUAAAGUACUCCUUAACAAAGAGGGGUUGAAUGGGAGAUGCACAAUAUUUCCCAUAUUUGGGUAAAUUUUAGGCAGUUUAUAACAUAGCAGUGUGCAAAUCUUUUUAUUUCUGUUUCUUUUUGUAGAUUUUUGGCUUUAAAUACACCAAUAUUUAAAUAUCUGGGCAUUUAAAAAUCAAUUAAUGAAAUUAAAACCUUUUUGUUAUUGCUGAUAAUUUUCAUUUAUUCUUUAAUUUAUGUAUUUUUGUUCAGAUUCCUUGAAGUUUUUCUGUUGAAUUGUUAGUAUGUUUGUAUUGAUUUAAAAGAGCUAUUUAUAUACGAAAGUUAUUAAUUUCAUCUUGCUGAAAGUGUUGUUGAGUGUUGUUUUUUUUUAAACAGUCUUGUUAUGUAGAUCAGGCUGGCUGUGAACUCACUAUGUAGCCCAGGUUGGCCUCAAACUCGUGGCAAUUCUCCUCCCUCAGCCUUCUGUGUGCUGGAAUUAAAAGUGUGUGCCACGAUGCCCGGCUGUGGUUUUCUU